CAGCAUUGGUGGAUAGGGGAAGAGUAAUUGACAUCAUCUACCUGUCCUUGUGCAAAGAUUUUACACUGUCCCCCAUUAUAUCCUUGUCUCUAAUUUGGAGAGAGUGAAUUUAGUGUAUGG